rnacentral:rRNA from 1 species
GACGAACGCUGGCGGCGUGCCUAAUACAUGCAAGUAGAACGCACAGUUUAUACCGUAGCUUGCUACACCAUAAACUGUGAGUUGCGAACGGGUGAGUAACGCGUAGGUAACCUGCCUGGUAGCGGGGGAUAACUAUUGGAAACGAUAGCUAAUACCGCAUAAUAUUAAUUAUUGCAUGAUAAUUGAUUGAAAGAUGCAAUUGCAUCACUACCAGAUGGACCUGCGUUGUAUUAGCUAGUAGGUGAGGUAACGGCUCACCUAGGCGACGAUACAUAGCCGACCUGAGAGGGUGAUCGGCCACACUGGGACUGAGACACGGCCCAGACUCCUACGGGAGGCAGCAGGAGGGAAUCUUCGGCAAUGGACGAAAGUCUGACCGAGCAACGCCGCGUGAGUGAAGAAGGUUUUCGGAUCGUAAAGCUCUGUUGUAAGAGAAGAACGGGUGUGAGAGUGGAAAGUUCACACUGUGACGGUAUCUUACCAGAAAGGGACGGCUAACUACGUG